rnacentral:rRNA from 1 species
GACGAACGCUGGCGGCGUGCCUAAUACAUGCAAGUCGGACGCACAGUCUAUACCGUAGCUUGCUACACCAUAGGCUGUGAGUUGCGAACGGGUGAGUAACGCGUAGGUAACCUGCCUAUUAGAGGGGGAUAACUAUUGGAAACGAUAGCUAAUACCGCAUAACAGUAUGUAACACAUGUUAGAUGCUUGAAAGAUGCAAUUGCAUCGCUAGUAGAUGGACCUGCGUUGUAUUAGCUAGUAGGUAGGGUAAUGGCCUACCUAGGCGACGAUACAUAGCCGACCGGAGAGGGUGGUCGGCCACACUGGGAGUGAGACACGGCCCAGACUCCUACGGGAGGCAGCAGUAGGGAAUCUUGGGGAAUGGGGGGAACCCUGACCGAGCAACGCCGCGUGAGUGAAGAAGGUUUUCGGAUCGUAAAGCUCUGUUGUUAAGGAAGAACGAGUGUGAGAAUGGAAAGUUCAUACUGUGACGGUACUUAACCAGAAAGGGACGGCUAACUACGUG